CCUACGGGUGGCAGCAGUCGAGAAUCUUUCACAAUGGGGGAAACCCUGAUGCAGCGACGCCGCGUGGGGGAAUGAAGGUCUUCGGAUUGUAAACCCCUGUUAUGUGGGAGCAAAUUAAAAAGAUAGUACCACAAGAGGAAGAGACUGCUAACUCAGUGACAGCAGCCGCGGUAAUACAGAGGGCUCAAGCGUUGUUCGGAAUCACUGGGCGUAAAGCGGGCGUGGGCUGUUGUGUAGGGUGUGUGUGAAAGGCGCGGGCGCAAACCGCGGAGGGCAGAUGAUACUGCGAUGCUUGAGUGAUGGAGAGGGAAGCGGAAUGCCCGGUGUAGCAGUGAAAUGCGUAGAUAUCGCGAGGAACACUCGUGGCGAAGGCGGGUUCCUGG
rnacentral:rRNA from 1 species